CUGGAAGGCUCUGCAGCCCUUCCACCUGGCAGGCAAUAAUUCAGAGCUCACACAAAGAGCCAGGAUGAGUCACUAGUCUGCUGAUUAGGCUGCUCUCCUGGGAGGGAGGCACCUGGAUCCCAGACCCAGGUAAUGGCUGCAAAGUAGAAGAGCAUCAGCUGGGAGGGAUUGGAAAUUCUUAAUGCUGCUGGUUGGGAGGCUCUUCAUGAGUGGGAGGCAUGAAUUUGAAUCCACUUGGAGAGGGCAGAGAGUUCAAUGCAGGUCUCCUAAAAUCUAAAGGAAAGGUCCUGCCUUAAAGUUAUUGAAAUGGGAGGAUUCUUCUUCAGCUGUUGGGUAUUGAAGUGGACAUUUGAAUUUGUUUUCUUAAAAGUGAUGGGUUUUGAUUCUGCAGAAUUCUUCCCGACUUUCUGGGGGACUUUUUUUUUUUUUUUUUUCAAGACCUAUAAGGCUUUUUUACCUGCAGGAUAGAUAAUUAUUCACACUCCCCUGUCUGGCAAUAUCCUACCAUGCCCUGGAAAGUGCUGAGAACACUCUUGUAUGUGCAGAAGGUGACAUGGUUUUUGGAAAUGAUCUGAUGGACUGUGAGUCAGCAAUGGCCACAGAAAAGUUUGAUGGAUCUGGCAGAACUUGUAGCUAUGAGAAGAAAAUGAGUAAUUUUUAUAUCUUGGGAAAGCGAUUGCUCCAGGCUAGUUUUGGCAGAAGAGCUUGUUCCUCAAAAGAAGGAAGGCAUGGAACAAAUUCAGAAGCAGGUCACAGUGAAAUUUUCUGGCUGAGUAGGCAACCAAGUCUUCAAGACUCAAGUCUCAAAACAGCAUCACACUGUAUUUUCUCUUUAGUUGUACAAAAUCUAAUAAAUGUCAAGUGCUCAAGACGUAUCUCUGGACAAAACUGGAUCUCUGAUGGAUCUCUUGGGAGAUUUUGAGUUUUCAUUUCAAAAUUUCUUCAGCUACAGUGGAGUGCAUUGGCCUAGAAGGUGUGUUUCUGCAGGGCCAUUGAUAGUGUCCAUACCUGCUGUCAACAGCAACUGGGGAAGGCAGGGAACCCAAAA
rnacentral:lncRNA from 1 species